GUCAGUGGGGUGUAGUGGUUUGAAUGUUGGACUGCGACUCUGGUGACCAGGGUUAGAUUCCCAGCUUGACC